UGGGGAAUUUUGGACAAUGGGGGCAACCCUGAUCCAGCCAUGCCGCGUGAGUGAAGAAGGCCUUCGGGUUGUAAAGCUCUUUCGGACGGGACGAAAUGGUUAGCGUGAAUAACGCUGACUGAUGACGGUACCGUAAUAAGAAGCACCGGCUAACUACGUGCCAGCAGCCGCGGUAAUACGUAGGGUGCGAGCGUUAAUCGGAAUUACUGGGCGUAAAGCGUGCGCAGGCGGUUCGCCAAGUCAGGCGUGAAAGCCCCGGGCUCAACCCGGGAAUAGCGCUUGAUACUAGCGGGCUAGAGUCCGGGAGAGGGUAGUGGAAUUCCCAGUGUAGAGGUGAAAUUCGUAGAUAUUGGGAAGAACACCAGUGGCGAAGGCGGCUACCUGGACCGGUACUGACGCUGAGGUGCGAAAGCGUGGGGAGCAAACAGGAUUAGAUACCCUUGUAGUCCCUGAGCGGGCUGGCAAGGCGCAU
rnacentral:rRNA from 1 species